AGCGAACGCUGGCGGCAGGCUUAACACAUGCAAGUCGAGCGGGCCCUUCGGGGUCAGCGGCGGACGGGUGAGUAACGCGGGGGAACGUGCCUUCUGGUUUGGAAUAACCCUGGGAAACUAGGGCUAAUACCGGAUACGAUCUUUUGGGGAAAGGUUUACUGCCGGAAGAUCGGCCCGCGUUUGAUUAGCUGGUUGGGGGGGUAACGGCCUACCAAGGCGACGAGCAGUAGCUGGUCUGUGAGGAGGAUCAGCCACACUGGGACUGAGACACGGCCCAGACUCCUACGGGAGGCAGCAGUGGGGAAUAUUGGACAAUGGGCGCAAGCCUGAUCCAGCCAUGCCGCGUGAGUGAUGAAGGCCUUAGGGUUGUAAAGCUCUUUUAUCCGGGACGAUAAUGACGGUACCGGAGGAAUAAGCCCCGGCUAACUUCGUG
rnacentral:rRNA from 1 species